UGGAGUGGUCGACCUCUCCAAGAUGGCCGCCCUAAAUCUCGUCAGCGACAAUAGAGAAGAGCGGCCGUGAGGCAUCUGUUCAUUAUUUUUCUUUAAAUGAAAAUUUAUUUAUUACCAUCAUAUACAACAGACAUGGUAUCAGAUGUUCUCACACCUGAAAAAGCUGAGCCAGGCUGCCUCCAUACAUACAGAAGAGACGAAAGAGCAAAAAUAAAAAGAACAAGCCAUUAGCGGUUUUCCAGCAGUUUCAAAUUGUUUAUCAUAUUAUACAGUUCUGCAUGUUGUUGUUUGUCCAUGCAUUUUAGAGAUAAGAAGAGGUGGCAGAGUUCCUUGUGAAAAGUGGGAAAAGAUGGUUUGGCUUUAAGAAAACAACAUUUGUGAAAGAAAAACUUGCAGAUAAUAAUUAUGACAUUUAGUCUUUAAAUGUCUUUUGUCUUCUCAGGAUGGCUCUACAUGUCUAGGCUCCCACAGGAAGCAGGGGGGCGGGCUCUUCCGCGUUUGACAUCAAGUUGCCAUGGUAACAGUCACUUUGUAAUUAAAUUAACAUUCAAAAAAAUAUUAGAAAAAACUGUUCUGAUAAAAAUGCGUUUGAGAUGUGUCAUUGCAACUGGAACCAGAACCAGAACCAUCAGGAACCAGAAGAGCUUCAGAUUAAACAACCAGAACCCAGCUGCCUGGACCUGCUGCUUCUGAAUAGAACCCAUCAGACAGAACCAGAACCUCCUCAUAAUAAUCAUUGUUUCUCAUCAGUCCAGAGACCUGUCUAGGCCCGGUCCAAACCCAGCAGAACCUCAGAGAUUCCGCUCACUGACCCAGAGCCUGGUUCUGAAAACGGGUCACUGAAGGUCUGAAGGAACCUCAGAGGAGACACCGGCCUCACAGAGCAGACACACACACACAGACACACACACACACACUCAGCUCGGAGGGUGAAAGGUUAUUGGCUGGCUGGCUGCAGCUCUCAGCCAAUCAGAGCUCAGGACUGGCUGCUGGGACUCUGUGCUGUUGCUGAGCAGAGAAUCAGCCUGACCUACAUCCAUCACACACAGCGCUGCUGCUCCAGGCUCAGAGGCACUGCGGCAGCCUCAGCACCAAACCCACCGAGCCGCUGCCACGAGGCGUUUACUGUCCUCCGGGAAAAACAGACGGCUACACACGCAGAGCCUUGAUCUGGAGCAGCAACGUUCCAACUGCAGAACCGGGCUCACAAUAACGUGGGCCCAAAAGAACCCAGCAGAACUGGCAUCCAUGACAGGAAAGCCUGGUUCUUCUGCACAGAACCAGAGCAACAUGUGAGGAACAGACGGUUCUGUCUGGGUCUGGGAACCAGAAACCCGUCCAGAAUUCUGCACCCAAACCACAGAACACUGAAGCACAGUGGUGAAGGUAUCGUACUAUGGGAUCACUAUAGAACUAAAGAUCAGUUCAAAACGAUUAACCCUGAAACAUUUUUCAGAUUUUAGAGCAGAUGUUUGUCAUCUACCAGUUUCAUGUUUGUCUUUAGAUAUUAUGUUUAGAUCUUGUUCUCUACUUUUGUUCCUGUUUGUUGUUUUAAAUAAAGUUAUAAUUGGGGAAAAAUACAGAGAGCAUGAGGAAAGGAAAAGAAACUGCUGUGUAAAAGGACUUCAAAAUAAGAGCAUGAAUAUAUUUCUCUAAAACUCAAUAUCCAAAACUGAAACACAGACGCCGAACUUUAUUCAGCUGAUAGUUAACAGACGUAAAUUUCAGAAUUUAUCUGGAAAAAUCAGGGCUAAGUGCUCAGAAACUUUUCAAUGCUAGCUACAAUGCUACAUCUGGUUCCUGCUUGGAACCAGAUGUGGUUCCAAGCAGAUCCACAAAGUCGGGUUUGGACCCAGACUCCACCAGAACCGGUGCAGUUCAACAGAACUAGAACCUUCUUCAGAGUCAAUCCUGGCAGACUCCAAGUGGACUUCCUCAGUUCUGUCACUAACCAGAACAUGGAUUAAAACCUGAAAAUCCAUUUGGACCUCCAGCUGGAAACAGAACUUCUCCUUGGAGUCAGGAUCAGUCUGUCAGGUCCAGAGGUUCUGGUCUCGUUUCCUCCAUUUGGUGCCUAGUAAAGUUGAAUAGGUAACGACCCAAACUGGACCAGUACCAAACGGGGAUCGGAUUGUCGGGGUGAGCGUUUCAUGGCUGCUUUGAGAACUGAAUAUUGAAAGUUACUUUCUCCAAUCUGCUGUAAGGAAACAAGGUUCUAUGAACCGAACUUCAGUUCUAUGACUGAAGUCUGUGUUCUGGUGGCCCGGACUCCACCAGAAUCACAUGUGCGCCAGCAGCAGGUUUCUGCUUUCUUCUUCGUGUAUUUGGGUUUAUGCUCGCAAACAUACCAGAACAUCCCAGGUCAGAGUUUCGAAACCGACGGACCGGAAUGACAAAAA